rnacentral:misc_RNA from 1 species
UGCGCUCAUGGUUGCGCUAUCGAUGUCAACUGGAACUCGAAGUAGAACGUCUCUGACGAGUAGAAAAUUGGCGAGCUCCGCGAAGUGAGAACCCGGUCAUGAUGUUUGCUUCCAAAAAUUACUACGUGUGACUUGAUUAAAAAAAGCUGAUAUGACCUUAAAUCGUUACAUCUUCCUCUCGAGGAAACGUUUUAAGUUCUAUUUUGUAUUUCCAACGAUGUGGAACCUUGUCACGGUACUGCAAUACUUCUGAAGAAAAUGGGCGACUCCGAUAAGCCUUUUGCUUGUCCCUGUUUGGGUUGUAACAUGAGUUUCACCAACGAGGAUCAUCUUAUGGUUCAUAAGAAGAAGCACGACAUGAUUUUAAACCUUGGUGUAAGCAAUAGGAACAAUGCCUUUGUAGCGGAUCAAACCCCAACUCCUACAAGGUUCAUUCGAAACUGCGAAGAGGUAGGCCUUUUUCAAGACUUGCAAAAUGUCAAUCCAUUCGAAGAAACCUUCCGCAGAGCUGUCGAGACUGGAAAGACCGGACCAUUUGCGGUAUCUGAGGUAGCAACAUCCGAUGACACUUUACAUACUCCACAUGUAUUCCCUCGCAUGUCAGAUGCAUUGGGAGUUCAAGCACUUUCUGACGAUCUCGUCUCUGCUUCUGAUAAAAAAACUAGUGAAACGAAAUGUUCCGUUGAAACACGAACCGAUACCAAGAUACAUCAAACCACCGAACAAAUGUCAAAAGACAUUACCAUUUUAACAUCCUCUACAGAAGUCAAACGAAUUUCCGAAACCAUAGUGAUUCAUGAACAAAACACCCUAACAAGAUCAAGGGAUGUCCAAGAAGCUCGUACGCCUCAGUUAUCUAUAAACGGCGAGGAAGUGCAGUUGUUGUUAAAAACUGCAGACGGGAAAUUUAUGCAACUCUCAGCUAUUCAAGUUCCUGAAUCACAGAUUCAACAAAGAAGUGUCAUUCCAAAAUUGAAACCUCAAAUUGUCGUAAUCAAAACCGAGCCCUCUUUGAGAAGUAUAUCGAAAACCAAAGAGAAUGAGACUCACGAUCCCAGACUAACUCUUGCCAAAAUGAAACUGAAGCAGAUGCUAGCUAAAUCCUCCAGAAUUGAAAGUGACAAGACAUCCGAAGAGUUUGAGGGAGAGCAAUUGAUGGUUCCUAAAGAGAGAAGGACCAGAAGCAUCGAUCGACACAAAAAGCAAGAACUUUUAGAACGUAACCGAGCAAGUUCAAUGCGUGCAAGAGCCAAAAGGAAGGCUUGGAUUCAACAACUCGAAAGGACAGUUUCUAAUGUUAACGAAACCAAUGCUGCUCUGCAAAUGGAGGUUCGAGCUUUAAGAGCCGAAGUUUCCAAGCUUAAAGUCUUGCUUCUUGCACAUAAGGAGUGUCCGGUUACCAAAGCCAUGGAAAAAGGUUGUGCUCUAUCAAAAGUUUUAGUUACCGACUUCGAGCUAGGAAAACAACGAGACAUACAUUCUAAUGCCUUCUUACGUUAAGAAAGUAUACAGCGCUUUAAAUAUGCCAAAUUAGAUCAUUUAAAUUAUUUACAUCACGAAAUGGAAUUUUAAUAGGAUCGAAAGUAAUUCCAUUGGGAGCAGAGACAAUCUCAGCAUUUCCAGUGGCUACAGGAAGCGUCCCUUUAAAAAGAAGUACCUUAUUAUCAGAAGUGCCAAUUCUUUCUAA